GUUGUAGAUGAACAAUAGAACGUUCAGAUAUGCUUAUCGAAUGCUAGUAUUGAGUUUAUGCCAUCGAUUUGUUAAAUUGUGAACUGAUUUAUAGUUAUCGCCAGUGAAUUUGUUGUUGAUUUGAUAAGACUAUUGGACUUGUGAAGUAGUUUGCUAGCCGAAUAUCGUGUACUGUUAAUCGAGCCGUUAAUAGAAAUUGAGACUUACGCGCUACUUGGUUUGUACUAUCAACCACAGGCGAUAGUUGCUGAUAGGCCUACCAUUGUGGGUACAAUAACCUGUGUAGGAAGGACUAAAUGCUUUGAGCUGCAAACAUCAACCGCUGCUGUUAGAUCCCUUACCUACCCGAACAUUCUCAAAGAUUUACCACUUAGCUUGCGAUGGAUGUGCUGUAUGGUAUCACUACGCAUGUGCCAAAGUGUCUUCCGGCAUCCAGGAUCGGUCCUGGAGCUGUAGUUCAUGCCAAUUCAAUCUGGUUCCGGAAUCGAAGGGGGUCACGAAAAAAGGAGGCAAGAAACAUGCAACAACUUCAGCUUUCCUUGGUCCUGUACCGAGUGAGAUAACACAGCUGAGCAAUGCUAAUCCAAAGAGGACCACGGAAAAAUCAAAAGGAUCGAGAACAUCGAAGAGACUUGCUGUGCCGGAUCCACCAGUGAAUGACGAGAUUACGCCGAUUAGACACCCGGAGAUUCGUGUAUUGGUGCAGUUGAACCGUGUAGAUCAGAGCUUCCCAAACCUUUGGGUAUGUGACCCACCUAGCAAAAUUCUAUAUGUCUCGCGACCCACCUAUGAAAAAAUGCAUUUUACCAAGUAGUAUAGUUAUGCUUAAAUUGAAUCAGAAUGUCAUCUGUUUCGGCUUCUUCCACCUAAAAAAUAUUCACGUUACCUUGUACAAAUGUACAUGUAGAAAUGCAAAAAAUGACGAACAUGGUAUUGUUUGUCAAAAUGUGAGCGUUUUUAUUUUACUUCAUUAAGGGGACAGCUUUAAGGCAUAAAUGUUUAAAUAAAAUAACGUGG